UAGGGAAGUCUUCGGCAAUGGACGAAAGUCUGACCGAGCAACGCCGCGUGAGUGAAGAAGGUUUUCGGAUCGUAAAACUCUGUUGUUAGAGAAGAACAAGGGUGAGAGUAACUGUUCACCCCUUGACGGUAUCUAACCAGAAAGCCACGGCUAACUACGUGUCAG
rnacentral:rRNA from 1 species